rnacentral:lncRNA from 10 species
GCGCCCCUUCCGGGAUUCAGCACAGUGAUUGCUGGCUGGUUUUUUCCUUGCUUGAUACCCAUCCUGAGCUGUUUAUGUCCUUGUGCCUCUCUUCACAAACCUGCUGUUCAAGGAAAAGUUAGUGGAAGCCGUUAUCCAUGUCAACAUUGAACCAGAAGAGCAUGAUUUGCAAGAGGAACUGCUACACAUUUUACACUUAUUUACUCCAACCUUUCCUGCUAAUUCCAGGUUUAUUGUAAAACCACUGAUCCCUUCAUUUGAGCUCGACUUCCCUGCACUUAGUUUUGAAUUUUUCCCCUGUCCAAUAGUAAGACACACACACAGAGAAGAACAACAAGAACAAGAAGAGAAUUGCAAUGAUGUGAAGACAUGUAGGAACCUUAGAAAAUUCAAGAUGUAUAGGAUCAAAGUUGUUUCAGAAGACAAGAAGAUGCUGAGACUUUGAUUAGAGUUUGGAGUUCCUCAAAUUCAUUGGAG